GGGAUUGUAGUUCAAUCGGUCAGAGCACCGCCCUGUCAAGGCGGAAGCUAAUGCUUCCUCCUUACUCUUCUA
rnacentral:tRNA from 2 species